rnacentral:rRNA from 1 species
CAGAUUGAACGCUGGCGGAAUGCUUUACACAUGCAAGUCGAGCGGCAGCACGGGAGCUUGCUCUUGGUGGCGAGUGGCGAACGGGUGAGUAAUGCGUCGGAACGUACCGAGUAAUGGGGGAUAACGCACCGAAAGGUGUGCUAAUACCGCAUACGCCCUCCGGGGGAAAGCAGGGGAUCGUAAGACCUUGCGUUAUUCGAGCGGCCGACGUCUGAUUAGCUAGUUGGUGGGGUAAAGGCCUACCAAGGCGACGAUCAGUAGCGGGUCUGAGAGGAUGAUCCGCCACACUGGAACUGAGACACGGUCCAGACUCCUACGGGAGGCAGCAGUGGGGAAUUUUGGACAAUGGGGGCAACCCUGAUCCAGCCAUUCCGCGUGAGUGAAGAAGGCCUUCGGGUUGUAAAGCUCUUUCAGCUGGAACGAAACGGUACGCUCUAACAUAGCGUGCUAAUGACGGUACCAGCAGAAGAAGCACCGGCUAACUACGUGCCAGCAGCCGCGGUAAUACGUAGGGUGCGAGCGUUAAUCGGAAUUACUGGGCGUAAAGCGUGCGCAGGCGGAUUGUUAAGCAAGACGUGAAAUCCCCGGGCUUAACCUGGGAAUGGCGUUUUGAACUGGCAGUCUAGAGUGUGUCAGAGGGGGGUAGAAUUCCACGUGUAGCAGUGAAAUGCGUAGAGAUGUGGAGGAAUACCAAUGGCGAAGGCAGCCCCCUGGGAUAACACUGACGCUCAUGUACGAAAGCGUGGGUAGCAAACAGGAUUAGAUACCCUGGUAGUCCACGCCCUAAACGAUGUCAACUGGUUGUUGGGGGAGUGAAAUCCCUUAGUAACGAAGCUAACGCGUGAAGUUGACCGCCUGGGGAGUACGGUCGCAAGAUUAAAACUCAAAGGAAUUGACGGGGACCCGCACAAGCGGUGGAUGAUGUGGAUUAAUUCGAUGCAACGCGAAAAACCUUACCUACCCUUGACAUGUCCAGAAUCCUGCAGAGAUGCGGGAGUGCCCGAAAGGGAAUUGGAACACAGGUGCUGCAUGGCUGUCGUCAGCUCGUGUCGUGAGAUGUUGGGUUAAGUCCCGCAACGAGCGCAACCCUUAUCAUUAGUUGCUACGCAAGGGCACUCUAAUGAGACUGCCGGUGACAAACCGGAGGAAGGUGGGGAUGACGUCAAGUCCUCAUGGCCCUUAUGGGUAGGGCUUCACACGUCACACAAUGGUC